rnacentral:rRNA from 1 species
GGGCGUAAAGGGCUCGCAGGCGGUUUCUUAAGUCUGAUGUGAAAGCCCCCGGCUCAACCGGGGAGGGUCAUUGGAAACUGGGAAACUUGAGUGCAGAAGAGGAGAGUGGAAUUCCACGUGUAGCGGUGAAAUGCGUAGAGAUGUGGAGGAACACCAGUGGCGAAGGCGACUCUCUGGUCUGUAACUGACGCUGAGGAGCGAAAGCGUGGGGAGCGAACAGGAUUAGAUACCCCCGUAGUC